UACGAAGGGUGCAAGCGUUACUCGGAAUUACUGGGCGUAAAGCGUGCGUAGGUGGUUCGUUAAGUCUGUCGUGAAAGUCCCGGGCUCAACCUGGGAAUGGCGAUGGAUACUGGCGGGCUAGAGUGCGGUAGAGGGUGGUGGAAUUCCCGGUGUAGCAGUGAAAUGCGUAGAGAUCGGGAGGAACAUCAGUUGCGAAGGCGGCCACCUGGACCAGCACUGACACUGAGGCACGAAAGCGUGGGGAGCAAACAGG
rnacentral:rRNA from 1 species